rnacentral:rRNA from 1 species
AGUGAACGCUGGCGGUAGGCCUAACACAUGCAAGUCGAACGGCAGCACAGUAAGAGCUUGCUCUUACGGGUGGCGAGUGGCGGACGGGUGCGGAAUACAUCGGAAUCUACUUUUUCGUGGGGGAUAACGUAGGGAAACUUACGCUAAUACCGCAUACGACCUACGGGUGAAAGCAGGGGAUCUUCGGACCUUGCGCGACUGAAUGAGCCGAUGUCGGAUUAGCUAGUUGGCGGGGUAAAGGCCCACCAAGGCGACGAUCCGUAGCUGGUCUGAGAGGAUGAUCAGCCACACUGGAACUGAGACACGGUCCAGACUCCUACGGGAGGCAGCAGUGGAGAAUAUUGGACAAUGGGCGCAAGCCUGAUCCAGCCAUACCGCGUGGGUGAAGAAGGCCUUCGGGUUUUAAAGCCCUUUUGUUGGGAAAGAAAAGCAGCAGGUUAAUACCCCGCUGUUCUGACGGUACCCAAAGAAUAAGCACCGGCUAACUUCGUG